AUUGAACGCUGGCGGCAGGCCUAACACAUGCAAGUCGAACGAGUGGCGGACGGGUGAGUAAUGUCUGGGAAACUGCCUGAUGGAGGGGGAUAACUACUGGAAACGGUAGCUAAUACCGCAUACCAUCAGAUGUGCCCCGAUGGGAUUAGCUAGUUGGUGGGGUAACGGCUCACCAAGGCGAUGAUCCCUAGCUGGUCUGAGAGGAUGACCGGCAACACUGGAACUGGUACACGGUCCAGAAGCCUACGGGAGGCAGCAGUGGGGAAUAUUGCACAAUGGGCGCAAGCCUGAUGCAGCCAUGCCGCGUGUAUGAAGAAGGGCUUUGGGUUGUAAAGUACUUUCAGCGGGGAGGCGUUACCAGGAGAAGAAGCACCGGCUAACUCCGUGCCAGCAGCCGCGGUAAUUC
rnacentral:rRNA from 1 species